rnacentral:rRNA from 1 species
AUUGAACGCUGGCGGCAUGCCUUACACAUGCAAGUCGAACGGCAGCACGGGUGCUUGCACCUGGUGGCGAGUGGCGAACGGGUGAGUAAUACAUCGGAACAUGUCCUGUAGUGGGGGAUAGCCCGGCGAAAGCUGGAUUAAUACCGCAUACGAUCUACGGAUGAAAGCGGGGGAGCUUCGGGCCUCGCGCUAUAGGGUUGGCCGAUGGCUGAUUAGCUAGUUGGUGGGGUAAAGGCCUACCAAGGCGACGAUCAGCAGCUGGUCUGAGAGGACGACCAGCCACACUGGGACUGAGACACGGCCCAGACUCCUACGGGAGGCAGCAGUGGGGAAUUUUGGACAAUGGGCGAAAGCCUGAUCCAGCAAUGCCGCGUGUGUGAAGAAGGCCUUCGGGUUGUAAAGCACUUUUGUCCGGAAAGAAAUGCUUGGCCCUAAUACGGUCGGGGGAUGACGGUACCGGAAGAAUAAGCACCGGCUAACUACGUG